rnacentral:misc_RNA from 1 species
UCCGGUUUGACACCGGCAGUCUCCCAUGAGUCCCCGACAUUACUCGCUGGCAACAUAGGAUAAGGGUUGCGCUCGUUGCGGGACUUAACCCAACAUCUCACGACACGAGCUGACGACAGCCAUGCACCACCUGUGAUGGUGUCCCGAAGGAAAACCGUGUUUCCACGGCGGUCACCAACAUGUCAAACCCUGGUAAGGUUCUUCGCGUUGCGUCGAAUUGAGCCACAUGCUACGCCGCUUGUGCGGGUCCCCGUCAAUUCCUUUGAGUUUUAGCCUUGCGGCCGUACUCCCCAGGCGGGGUGCUUAAUGCGUUAGCUUCGGCACGGAGGGAGUCGACACCCCCCACACCUAGCACCCAUCGUUUACGGCGUGGACUAC